rnacentral:lncRNA from 1 species
AGCAUAAAAGAAAGUGCACAAGAUAAUUGUAUAUUAAAAAAGAAGCUUUAUUGAUUCAUAUUAUAAAAAAAGUACAAAAAGGGGUAGAAUAUGAAACCGCUCUGUUGUUACAAGACUUCCUCUCUCCUCUCGAGACUAGUGGAUUUAGCUGUUCAUGGGUUGGCUUUUGCUGGUUGAUGGCUCCAUCUUCUCAACAGAAUCUCCUUAUGUCAUCUUGAAAAUCUUCCAACGUCACAGCUUUCUUCCUUUCUUUUUCGCUUAUUUUUCUCUCAACUUUUUCCCUUCUCUGAUCUCCUCUCCUUAGGUGCCCCCACACCCCUUGGAGUCCUAGCCAUCACAAAACUCCUACGCCUUCACAUCCUUUGUUUUUAUUUUUUUUAAACACCCUAAGGCCUUCUCUGUUCCUAGGCGCACGCCUGCAGCUGCUUCAGCUCUCGCUCGCCAACCAUGCCUGUGUCUGCGUCCAAACUGCAUCCAGGCCCACUCAUGAGCUCAUUCUCGUGAGAGCCGCACCGAGCCUUCUCUCGUGAACCACUCCCGCACGCACACUUUCAAACCGCACCCCACAUGCCCAUGCACCCGCUCAUGCUUGGAUCGAAAUGCGUGCCCGCGUUACCAUGCACCGUGGUAAACCACGCUACCAACCCUGUGCACCGCGUUGUGAGUCACAUGGCAUUCCCUCUUGUAUUGCAUAAGCCUGUACACCGCGCAUGUAAACCACUGGGCUAUGUGGGCUUGUUUAUUCUGGACCGUGUGGUUGCUGUGUUUUCUCUGACUAUGUGCCUCUUUUGUGUUACUAAAAAAAUUAUUUAUAAAGACUAGUUUGGACUUUAGUUUGGGCUUUAUCACUACAAAUGUUGAGGGUCUUGCUGGUUGGUUUGUGAUUAGACUUUAUAAUUAACAAUUCCUGAA